UACGUAGGGGGCAAGCGUUGUCCGGAAUCAUUGGGCGUAAAGAGCGUGUAGGCGGCCAGAUAAGUCCGCUGUGAAAUCUCGAGGCUCAACUUCGAGCUGUCGGUGGAAACUGUCUGGCUAGAGUCCGGAAGAGGAGAAUGGAAUUCCUGGUGUAGCGGUGAAAUGCGCAGAUAUCAGGAAGAACACCCGUGGCGAAGGCGGGCUACUGGGCCGAUACUGACGCUGAGGCGCGAAAGCCAGGGGAGCAAACGGG
rnacentral:rRNA from 1 species